rnacentral:rRNA from 1 species
AUACGGAGGGUGCAAGCGUUAAUCGGAAUUACUGGGCGUAAAGCGCUCGUAGGCGGCUUGUUAAGUCGGAUGUGAAAGCCCCGGGCUCAACCUGGGAACUGCAUUCGAUACUGGCAAGCUAGAGUAUAGUAGAGGCAAGUGGAAUUCCGGGUGUAGCGGUGAAAUGCGUAGAUAUCCGGAGGAACAUCAGUGGCGAAGGCGACUUGCUGGACUAAUACUGACGCUGAGGAGCGAAAGCGUGGGGAGCAAACGGGAUUAGAAACCCCUGUAGUCC